GAUGAACGCUGGCGGCGUGCCUAAUACAUGCAAGUCGAGCGAACGGACGAGAAGCUUGCUUCUCUGAUGUUAGCGGCGGACGGGUGAGUAACACGUGGAUAACCUACCUAUAAGACUGGGAUAACUUCGGGAAACCGGAGCUAAUACCGGAUAAUAUUUUGAACCGCAUGGUUCAAAAGUGAAAGACGGUCUUGCUGUCACUUAUAGAUGGAUCCGCGCUGCAUUAGCUAGUUGGUAAGGUAACGGCUUACCAAGGCAACGAUGCAUAGCCGACCUGAGAGGUUGAUCGGCCACACUGGAACUGAGACACGGUCCAGACUCCUACGGGAGGCAGCAGUAGGGAAUCUUCCGCAAUGGGCGAAAGCCUGACGGAGCAACGCCGCGUGAGUGAUGAAGGUCUUCGGAUCGUAAAACUCUGUUAUUAGGGAAGAACAUAUGUGUAAGUAACUGUGCACAUCUUGACGGUACCGAAUCAGAAAGCCACGGCUAACUACGU
rnacentral:rRNA from 1 species